AGUGAACGCUGGCGGUAGGCCUAACACAUGCAAGUCGAACGGCAGCACAGUAAGAGCUUGCUCUUACGGGUGGCGAGUGGCGGACGGGUGAGGAAUACAUCGGAAUCUACUUUUUCGUGGGGGAUAACGUAGGGAAACUUACGCUAAUACCGCAUACGACCUACGGGUGAAAGCAGGGGAUCUUCGGACCUUGCGCGAUUGAAUGAGCCGAUGUCGGAUUAGCUAGUUGGCGGGGUAAAGGCCCACCAAGGCGACGAUCCGUAGCUGGUCUGAGAGGAUGAUCAGCCACACUAGAGCUGAGGCACGGCCCAGAAUCCUACGAGAGGCAGCAGUGGGGAAGAUUGGACAACGGGGGCAACCCUGAUCCAGCCGUCCCGCGUGGUUGAUGAAGGCCUUCGUGUGGUAAAGCCGUUCUUUUGGGAAAAAAAAGCAGCAGCUUGUUACCCCGCUGUUCUGACGGUACCCAAAGAAUAAGCACCGGCUAACUUCGUG
rnacentral:rRNA from 1 species